AUUGAACGCUGGCGGCAUGCUUUACACAUGCAAGUCGAACGGUAACAGGCCGCAAGGUGCUGACGAGUGGCGAACGGGUGAGUAAUGCAUCGGAACGUGCCCAGUCGUGGGGGAUAACUACUCGAAAGAGUAGCUAAUACCGCAUACGAUCUAUGGAUGAAAGCGGGGGACCGUAAGGCCUCGCGCGAUUGGAGCGGCCGAUGUCAGAUUAGGUAGUUGGUGGGGUAAAGGCUCACCAAGCCAACGAUCUGUAGCUGGUCUGGGAGGACAACCAGCCACACUGGGACUGAGACACGGCCCAGACUCCUACGGGAGGCAGCAGUGGGGAAUUUUGGACAAUGGGCGCAAGCCUGAUCCAGCAAUGCCGCGUGCAGGAAGAAGGCCUUCGGGUUGUAAACUGCUUUUGUACGGAACGAAACGGCUCUGGUUAAUACCCGGGGCUAAUGACGGUACCGUAAGAAUAAGCACCGGCUAACUACGUG
rnacentral:rRNA from 1 species